ACUCCUACGGGAGGCAGCAGUGGGGAAUAUUGGACAAUGGGCGAAAGCCUGAUCCAGCAAUGCCGCGUGAGUGAUGAAGGCCUUAGGGUUGUAAAGCUCUUUUACCCGGGAUGAUAAUGACAGUACCGGGAGAAUAAGCUCCGGCUAACUCCGUGSCAGCAGCCGCGGUAAUACGGAGGGAGCUAGCGUUAUUCGGAAUUACUGGGCGUAAAGCGCACGUAGGCGGCUUUGUAAGUAAGAGGUGAAAGCCCAGAGCUCAACUCUGGAACUGCCUUUUAGACUGCAUCGCUUGAAUCAUGGAGAGGUCAGUGGAAUUCCGAGUGUAGAGGUGAAAUUCGUAGAUAUUCGGAAGAACACCAGUGGCGAAGGCGGCUGACUGGACAUGUAUUGACGCUGAGGUGCGAAAGCGUGGGGAGCAAACAGGAUUAGAUACCCCGGUAGUCCACGCCGUAAACGAUGAUAACUAGCUGUCCGGGGACUUGGUCUUUGGGUGGCGCGGCUAACGCAUUAAGUUAUCCGCCUGGGGAGUACGGCCGCAAGGUUAAAACUCAAAGGAAUUGACGG
rnacentral:rRNA from 1 species